GACGAACGCUGGCGGCGUGCCUAAUACAUGCAAGUAGGACGCAGUUGCGAACGGGUGAGUAACGCGUAGGUAACUACCUAUUAGAGGGGGAUAACUAUUUGAAACGAUAGCUAAUACCGAAUACUAGUCGCUGGACCUGCGUUGUAUUAGCUAGUAGGUAGGGUAAUGGCCUACCUAGGCAACGAUACAUAGCCGACAGGAGAGGGGGAUCGGCCAAACUGGGACGUGGACACGGCCCAGACUCCUACGGGAGGCAGCAGGAGGGAAGCUUCGGCAAGGGGGGGAACCGUGACCGAGCAACGCCGAGUGAGUGAAGAAGGUUUUCGGAGCGUAAAGCUCUGUUGUUAAUGAAGCGGUACUUAACCAGAAAGGGACGGCUAACUACGUGCCAGCAGCCGCGGUAAUAC
rnacentral:rRNA from 1 species